rnacentral:rRNA from 1 species
UACGUAGGGUGCAAGCGUUGUCCGGAAUUAUUGGGCGUAAAGAGCUCGUAGGCGGUCUGUCGCGUCUGCUGUGAAAUCUCAGGGCUUAACCCUGAGCUUGCAGUGGGUACGGGCAGACUAGAGUGCGGUAGGGGAGACUGGAAUUCCCAGUGUAGCGGUGAAAUGCGUAGAUAUUGGGAGGAACACCAGUGGCGAAGGCGGCUCACUGGACCGGAACUGACGCUGAGGCGCGAAAGCGUGGGGAGCAAACAGG